GGAGGGAGAAGAGAAGUGCCAAAACAGCAAUAACAAUAACAACAAUAACAACAACAAAGGCAACCUUUGCCAGGAGGUGACGCAAGAGCUCUUAAUGUGGGCAGGGAUCCUCUCCUCUUCCUCCUCUGUAAGGAGUGUUCUUUGUCUGAGCGGGCAUGUGGCUGGGAACUGCACGAAUACUGCGACACAGGCACCCCUCCAAAAAAAAAACCAGGACACUCUGGACAAAUUCAAGCCUCUUUGUUAUGCAAUCGGUCAAAUGAAUCCUACGAUAUGCACUUGUAGAUAUUAAGCCGUUUUUUGUUGUCAUAUUGUCGAGUUUGUAUUGUAUUGAUAUCUUCAUUGCUGAUAUGAGAUAACGGACAUCAGACAUAAAAGUGAACCUACGUCAGCAAGGUCAUAGGUGCAGCAUUAGGCUAGCAGUUUAGGGUAACCUGCUGGAUUAAGGCUCAGCAAAAAAACCCUAAAAGCUCGAGCUGGCAGCACGGCGUCUCCUCCUCUGAUCUGUUGUACGUCUCGGCUGGCAGGUCAGGAGGAAAUAGAUCAGAGUUCUUCGCCAGGGGAGACUUUAUCGAUGCACACUUUAAGUGCUAGCUGAAAGAUCCAUUUAUCAGAGUUGAAAUAAGCCAUCCAGUGGGGAUGUUGAAAUGAAUCGUCUCUACGAUGCGUCGUGAUGUAGACAUGGACGAUUUUGGAUCGCAGUGACAAAACAUAAUCGAUUAUUUCACUUUUUAAACAUUUUUAUAAUUAUUUUACCAUGUAAAGACAUUUAUGUUGACGUUGAAUUCGAAAGCACUUUCUAAAUAAAAAAAAAAGGAGUUCAUAUUAA